UGCUCAGCAACUCCUAUCCCUACCUCCUCGCGGUACCGGCCGGAAACUAUGAGCAACCUUUAGGGAAGAUCGAGUAACAAAUUUUUUUGGUCGUAGGCUGACAGGGAAGG
rnacentral:ribozyme from 1 species